ensembl:lncRNA ZNF213-AS1 ZNF213 antisense RNA 1 (head to head)
GCACCCGGGAGGAAAGGCGAGGCUCUGCAUCUAGAUUUACCUCGUUCUCUUUUGUCUCCGCUUUUUUUUCACAUUUCCUUGCGACCCUGGCCCUUGAGCGACAAAAAGGGGAAGCCAAGGCUGGCCCGAGGAACGGAGAGGGCACAUGGCCUAGCCACAAGUGGAGCUUCUGCUCCGCCCGAAGGGAUGCGCUGGAGCGGCCUCUUCCUUCUGCCACGGUCUUUCUUUGCCAACUAAGAUGGGGUUUCACCAGGUUAGCCAGGCUGGUCUUGAACUCCAGACCUCAAGGGAUCCGCCUGCCUCAGCUUUCCAAAGUGCUGGGAUUACAGGUGGAGACUGGACCUCAGAAGAGGGAGUGGGUGCCCCGAGAACUCACAGCUAGCGGACAGUGGAAAGGGCAGGAGCCGGACCAAGGUGAGGACAGUGGAACUGAAGGCCGCUGGUUACCUCUCCUGCCCUCCGCUGGCCACAGUGGAGAAGACAGCCCCUCCCUCCUGCUCUGACCUGACAGUGUUCAUCCAUCGCCCUGUAUUAGCGAAGAACAACAUCAAGCUGGCUAGCAAGGAACUGUAUACAGGGUCCAGCUGGGUAUCACACUGGAUCUCACCCAAAGCUUAGAUGUGAUCCAGCUCAGUAUCACAAAGCAGAACGAAAAGGAUGUGUUUGGGCUGAGAGGCCAUACAUUGGCUCCGGCAUGACGGGUGACUUCUUCCGAGUCUGGCUUCUGCAGCACACAGGGCUUCGCCAGCACCCAGCUCCUGCAGCAUGGGCAGCUCCUGUGACAGCAGGCGCCCGCAGCCUGCAAAGCGUCUCCAGUGCCGCCGCCUCAGUGAACCUCAACCAGCGGCACCUAGCAGCUUUCUCUGCCACCCUCUUCAGGUAGUUCUGUAGCAGCGCGUUUCUCAUGAGACACUUCCCUGUGAGCAGCUUUUUCUACCCUUGAGGAUGGAUUUCCAGCAAAUUCUGCCCAUGUGGUACCACAGCCACUUCUCUGCCAUUCAGUGAAACUGCCGUUGUGCCCUCUUCAAGGUCUGGAUCUAAGCCCAGGGACCAGGAAACCUCUUGCUUGAGUGCUGGAACUCAGGCCAGAAGGACAUCCCUGUAGAAGUUCUGCUGCGUGUGGUCCAGCCGUCCCCACUCCUCCCGGGAGAGGUACAAGGCCACAUCCUCGAAAGUCACUGGCAUCUGAAACAAUGUGAAACAUCCACUCUCCAGGACAUGACGUGGACACGGUGGAGGGACACCAUGGCAUGAGAUGUGUGGUGAGACCCCGGACUCCCAACCCACUGUGUCGAGUGAGGCCUGCCACUUCCAUCUGAUCGGGAAGCAGGUGAGCCACCCAAGGCCUUCUGGGGAGUUGAGAAAGAACAAAGACCAAGAGGUAUUUUCAGGGAUCACAGUUAAGACUUAGGAUGUCCAUGCAGCCCCCAGCCUCAGCUGAGACCUCGGAGGACGGUUCCCAACGGCUACCAGCGAGAGGCCCUGUGUCUCUAAUUCCUGCUGCUUCUCCUCCAGCUUUGGCCCAGGCCUGACCAUGGGCCUUGAGCCUGGACAAUUCCAGCAACACUAGCAAGAGCCCCAGGCUUCAGGCUUGGCUGCAAGUGGGGCCAGCGGGGUCCUGGCUUUCACACAGAACCAGCAGAUGCAGGAAGGGCUGAGUACCAUGCAGGGGCCGGGGAAGGGCCACUCACCUGGGACCAGGCAGUGAGGAGCGCUGCAGCCAUCUGCCGGUCUCUGGUCCUCCCCUCUCGGGAAAGCACGGGGAUCCGGGGGGAGGGGAGGGCUGUGGGAGGAGAGAGGUCCUCACGGUGAUCAGCUCAUCCUGCUGGACCUGCUGCUACUUCAGCUGCCUCAAACUCCACCCCUGGCCCGACCCAAGGACAGGGUCGGAUGGCUCUGACGCUGCCAGGGGGCUGUGGGCCAUGGGGGGAUAGCGUCCCCUGCUGGCAUAGAGACCCUCAGCCCCACCUGGACCUGGGCCAAACCUCCACCUCCCCACAGCUGCCUCCCUGGGAAAGCGCCUCUUCCCCGUCCCUCUCCUACCUCCGCCAGGCAGGAAGAGAGCUUUCUCCUUAGAGCCGUGACUUAGGGGUGCCCAGCCCCAGGCACCUUGAGCCCCAUCCUCCUGCGAUGCCCCCUCGGAGUGUGGCUCUUCGGGCUCCAUCUUAAUGUGCAGUGACUCCUGAGUGUCCCCUGAAGGUACCGCCUCCCCCAGCUUAGAAGGCAUUUCCUGAUGAGGAUGUCCACGAUCUGGAACCUAGAAAGGACAGCCCCAUCAGCACCCAGAUGAGUGGGAGAGACACCCAGGGCCACAUGGCAGUGCGCUCCGGCAGCGUCGGAAACCAACAUGCAAGACGCAGCUUGAAGGACUGUCCUUGCUGCAUUCAUCCAGCUCACCCCAGCAAGGACGGGCGGCAAGAGGAGGAAUAUUCACCAAGCCGCCUCCACAGUGCCGGUGGGCGUGGUGCCCAAGGGCAGCUACCCCUUCUCAGCUCCAGCCUCACACUGACCUCAGCAGUGUAGACUGCUGUCUAUUAGUGUAUGAAGAAACCAAGUGUAGUGGCUUGAAUAGUGUCCUCUAAGAAUCCGUGUCCUCCCUGGACCUCAGAAUGGGACCUUAUUGGGGAAAAGGGUCUUUAUACAGGAGAGGACACAGAGACACAGAGAAGGAAGCAGAGACUGGAGGGAUGCCCACACCAAGGACACCAGGAGCCCCCAAGGAGUUGGAAGAGACGGAGUUUCGCUCUUCUUCCCAUGCUGGAGUGCAAUGGCGCAAUCUCAGCUCACCCCAACCUCCGCCUCCUGGGUUCAAGCGAUUCUCCUGCCUCAGCCUCCUGAUUACCUGGGAUUACAGGCAUGUGCCACCACACCUGGCUAAUUUUGUGUUUUUAGUAGAGAUGGGGUUUCUCCAUGUCGGUCAGGCUGGUCUGGAACUCCUGACCUCAGGUGAUCCGCCCACCUCAGCCUCCUAAAAUGCUGGGAUUACAGGCGUGAGCCACCGCGCCCAGCCUAUAAAAUUGAUUCUUUAAAAAAAAUUAGAACAUUUACCGAUGCUGGACCCACCUUCCCCACCUUCAGGGUCCACUUUCUAGGUGGCCACAGUGCCUGCUUGGCCCCUGUAGCAUUUGAGUUUGCAACUCUGCUUUUGGAGUUAAACAUGUUUUAGGA